CAGUCGCCACGGUAAUACGGGGGGGGCAAGUGUUAUUCGGAAUGACUGGGCGUAAAGGGCACGUAGGCGGUGAAAAGGGUGGAAAGUGAAAGUCGCCAAAACACUGGCGGGGUGCUUUCUUGACCAUUUCACUUGAGUGAGAUAGGGGAGAGUGGAAUUUCGUGUGGAGGGAUCAAAUCCUAAGAUAUACGAAGGAACGCCAACCGCGAAGGCAGCUCUCUGGGUCCCCACUGACGCUGGGGUGCGAAAGCAUGGGGAGCAAACAGGAUCAGAUACCCCCGUAGUCCCUGUCUCUUAUACA
rnacentral:rRNA from 1 species